rnacentral:misc_RNA from 1 species
GAUGAAGAACGUAGCGAAAUGCGAUAAGUAAUGUGAAUUGCAGAAUUCAGUGAAUCAUCGAAUCUUUGAACGCACCUUGCACCCUUUGGUAUUCCGAAGGGUAUGCUCGUUUGAGUGUCAUUGUACUCUCACACUUCUAAUUCCUUUCGGGAUUGGGAGCGGUGGACUUGGGUGUUGCUGCUUUAGUUGUGGCUCACCUCAAAUAAGUUAGUGCAGCUCUUGGUUGGACAUAGUACGGCGUGAUAAGUGUCUUCGCCGGCGCCUCUGUAAGGAGGGUGGCCGAUCGGGAGCUCUGUGCUUCAAACCGUCUUCGGACAAUCUUUGACAACUUGACCUCAAAUCGAGUAGGACUACCCGCUGAACUUAAGCAUAUCAAUAAGCGGAGGA